AGCAGCCGCGGUAAUUCCAGCUCCAAUAGCGUAUAUUAAAGUUGUUGCAGUUAAAAGCUCGUAGUUGAAUUUUGGGUUUGACCGAUCGGUCCGUUCUUGUGACGAGUACUGGUCGUGUUGGGCCUCACCGCCUGGGGAAAAGCAAUGCCCUUUAUUGGGUGUUGUUUGGAGCCAGGACCUUUACCUUGAAAAAAUUAGAGUGUUUAAAGCAGGCAUAUGCCAGAAUACAUUAGCAUGGAAUAAUAGAAUAGGACGAUGAAUCUAUUUUGUUGGUUUCUAGGAACAUCGUAAUGAUUAAUAGGGAUAGUUGGGGGCAUUAGUAUUCAAUUGUCAGAGGUGAAAUUCUAGGAUUUAUUGAAGACUAACUACUGCGAAAGCAUUUGCCAAGGAUGUUUUC
rnacentral:rRNA from 1 species